AGAGAGCGGUAGAUAGUUUUAAUAAGUGUCUGUACGACAGCAGCACCGUGCGCUCCCGUUACUGACUGUACUGUACACAAGCGGAGGGAGGAGCGACCGUGUAGUAUUUCUUUUUUGGUUCUUUCCCCCUGUCGUUGCGACCCAUACAAACGCUUGAGAAAAGCAGCGAAACGGGGAAAAAAACAAACGUGUUUUUUUUUCCCUCCCCUCCACGCAGAGGUUUUGCACGGAGGAGGACGCGGGAGUAGAGCGAGGAGGGACAGAUCACUUUGACGGUACGAGGCGCACUAUAGACUGGGACUGGGCUCUGGACUGAGAGGGGGGAGCGGACGCGAAGCCUUACUCCAGCGCCAGCGCCACUACACUCGGGCAGAAACCGGUGGAGCCCCCGCUGACUUUCUCCCCUCUUCAUCUCCACCUAAUGCCAUAAUACUCAAGCCGCUCUGGUGCCCAGACCGCGUGCGUGGUGGUCGGGUGUGGGGUAACCGACGAGAUCCCUCAGACCUUUGUUGUGAUGACUGGCGGGAUCAGAAGUGAAGAAACGACGCUGACGUGAAGACACCUGACCACCAAGGGUGGAGACGGGGCCUACCACACAACACAGGAGGCCUGGGGAAAUCAUUAACCUCAAACAAGCACAUUCAAUGUGACUGACUGGUUGUCACUCCACCCUCCAUAUUCCUGAGAUCAACAUCCACCUCGCGAGCCCCCUCCGGCCUGCCCAUUUUACCCCAGACAUACCUCCAACGUCUCACAUACUUUGCAGCUUCACACCGAGCUACAAAACACCAGCCUCGAAGGGGGUCCACUCCUUUUUGGAGCC